AACGAAAAUAGUCUUCUAAUCAUCUGAGUAGCUCUACAGAGCAUGUAACGAGGCCACUAGCUCGGACAUUCUUGUGGGAUCAUGAUUCGGUGAAGAACUGAAGAAAUUUCCCCGAAGUCUUGUCAUGAAAACCAUUGCAAUAAGUAGUUUUCCUAUAGGAAUCUACCUAAAAAGUCUGAGAAUGUCCUGGUCGAUGAAACUAAUAGAAGCAAUUAAUUCACCGGUAAUUACUGUUCCUCCUGAAAAGUAUGGUCUUCGCUAUCAAAUAUUAGCCUUGAAAUGUUAUUACGUUAUAGGAAAUCUGGAAAUUUCUCGAAUUGAUCGACAAAAUUUGACGUUGUUUUUCACUUUAUUAUUUCACUGUGUCAUUCGACCUUUUUGGCCUCUACAAUUUCCAGCUUUUAUAUUUGAAGCACUUAUUUUAACAGUGUCAAGUGCUCAACCAGAAUAUGAAUGGCUUCUCAGCUUUGUAAUGCUGCUACUCGGGUGUAUCAUUCAUCCAGUUCUUGAAUUUGGGAUCGAUCUAUGGCUAAUAUGUAGCUUCAUUGCAAAUACUUUGUUAACUAUACAGAGAAGUCCAUCUUACAGGAACUAUGGUAGAUGGGAAUUGAUCGUAAUGACCUAUCUCUUAUGUGAUUUAGGAAUAAAAGGACUUUUUGAUACGCUAAUGCUUUUAACGAGUUGGUUUGUAUUUUUAAAAGCUGUUCACAGGAUCCGAAAUGAUGCACUUUUUAUCGCUUUUAUAGUCUUACAAACAGUAGGAGAGUUAUUUGGCAAUGAAAUUUGUGAUAUUUAAAUAAAGCAAAGAUUGGAUAUUUUAUUUCAAAGGACGAUAUUUUAAUGGAUUGUAUUUUGUAAACAUUGAACUCCUAAAGUUUGUAAAUGGGACAAACAUGUAUAUUUGUUUUAUCACUUUUAGUUGUUCUUAAUGUGUAUUUCA